GCUAUUAGACAAACAGAUGGCUGGUGUAUCUAUCAAAGAAGAUGAAGGAAAUGCUCUUGUUGAUGAUAAGAGAAACUAUAAAGGGAAAUCAAGAGAUAGAAUGCACUUUCAGUCCUCAAAUAGUUCAAGCUCGUUGGGAAUAAAGGAGGAGUCUUCCAGUAACGGUAAAAGGCUUUUAAAAUGUUACCGUUGUGGCAAAGUCGGG
rnacentral:lncRNA from 1 species